rnacentral:rRNA from 1 species
AUUGAACGCUGGCGGCAGGCCUAACACAUGCAAGUCGAGCGAGCGGCGGACGGGUGAGUAAUGUCUGGGAAACUGCCUGAUGGAGGGGGAUAACUACUGGAAACGGUAGCUAAUACCGCAUACCAUCAGAUGUGCCCAGAUGGGAUUAGCUAGUAGGUGGGGUAAUGUCUCACCUAGGCGACGAUCCCUAGCUGGUAUGAGAGGGUGACCAGCCACACUGGAACUGAGACACGGUCCAGACUCUUAAGGGAGGCAGAAGUGGGGAAUAUUGCACAAGGGGCGCAAGCCUGAUGCAGCCAUGCCGCGUGUAGGAAGAAGGCCUUCGGGUUGUAAAGCACUUUCAGCGGGGAGGCGUUACUCGCAGAAGAAGCACCGGCUAACUCCGUGCCAGCAGCCGCGGUAAUAC